UCCUGGCCCGACGGUGACGGAGGGCUUUGAUGAGGCCCGGCGGCCGCGUGCUUGCCAGGAAGGCCCGGGGCUUGAGGCCCUGGAAGGCCUGGCCCGUUCAGGAGUCCCGGCUGUUUGGGGGAAUGUCCCACGCCCUGUGGGGAUUUGAGCCGUGUCUCCCGGCCGACUUGGGUGUCCCGGUUGGUGUGUGGUCGGGCCUGGGGGCUUGGUGCGGGCGGGAACCGCGGGUAGCGACCACGUCUCGUCAGGGGGUUCGUGCCUGCUGCUGGGCACGGGAACGGCUCCGGGGGGGUCUUACGGGCGCUGAGGGGAUUCCGCAUCAUGGAGAGGUCAAGGGGAGUUGGUGGCCGUCACCCUUCGUCAGGGCAGGGUAGCAUCAGUGCUCCCGUGCUGGGGUUCCUGGAGAGCCGGCUGGCACGGACAGACUCUUGUGAGGGCAAGUGGCUGAUCGUGCGUCGGAUGGGUCCAGCAAAGGAGAGAAAGCUUCGGGUGCGCGCGCUCGCCAGGGAAAGGGUGACAGCGGGUGGGACCGAGAGGGAGAGAGAGAGAGAGAGAAAAAGGAAGAGAGAGGGUUUCCGCAGGGGCGGUGAGUCCUGGCGGAAGUCCUGAGGCAGAGGAGGUGCCAGGGGUUUGGGUUUCCCGGUCGUGUCGGGGGUGUGGCGCAGGUUGCCCCAGUGGGCCUGAAUGUGCCUCCGUGGGGCACCUUGUUGCCGUGUUGGGGGGCGGGGAGCCGGCCUUGGGGAUCCAUCUUUCGGGCCCUGGGACGUGGGAGAAGAAUGCCGGGCCUCUCUCUGUGCCCCUGGCGCCUCUGUGCAGGCCGGGCCUGCACCACCCCCCCGCGCCCGUCCCCAGGCAGGGUCCGUGUGGCUGCAGACACCCAGAGAGAGGGGAGGCUGGGGAGGCUGGGGAGCCGUGGCAGCCCGAUGCAGUGCGGGUCUCCAGGUGGAGGGGCCCUGGUCCCCUGGCGCCAGCGUGGCCCUUCCUCCUUGUGGAAACCCUUGUGGUGUGUGUGCUCUCUCGCCCUGACCCAGGAGAGCAGCAUGGCGGACCCCUGAUCUUGUGGCGUGCCACCGCGCGAGGCCGAGGAGCUCCCGCAGCCCAGUGGGCGUGGCGUCCUUGUCGCGGCUCUGUGGAGACCUGGCGAUGGAGAGCAGCAUGGCGGACCCUGAUCUUGUGGCGUGCCACCGCGCGAGGCCGAGGAGCUCCCGCAGCCCAGUGGGCGUGGCGUCCUUGUCGCGGCUCUGUGGAGACCUGGCGAUGGAGAGCAGCAUGGCGGACCCCUGAUCUUGUGGCGUGCCACCGAGCGAGGCCGAGGAGCUCCCGCAGAACCAGUGGGCGUGGCGUCCUUGUCGCGGCUCUGUGGAGACCUGGCGAUGGAGAGCAGCAUGGCGGACCCCUGAUCUUGUGGCGUGCCACCGCGCGAGGCCGAGGAGCUCCCGCAGACCAGUGGGCGUGGCGUCCUUGUCGCGGCUCUGUGGAGACCUGGCGAUGGAGAGCAGCAUGGCGGACCCCUGAUCUUGUGGCGUGCCACCGCGCGAGGCCGAGGAGCUCCCGCAGACCAGUGGGCGUGGCGUCCUUGUCGCGGCUCUGUGGAGACCUGGCGAUGGUGAGCGGCCCCUGUCCUCAGUGGUGGAGAACUCGCCCUUGGGGCGCUCGUCUGUCCGGAGCCCCGGGCCAGCCCCGCUUCUCGCGGGCUUUGGCCCCGGCAGGCCAGCUCCGGGGGCGUGAGGGGGAGCGUCCCGUCCUGCCCAGUGGCUCGUCUGUCUGGGCACGCCCCCAAACGCUGCCGUGAUGGAGCGGGUGGGAUGUCCAGGUGCGGAGGCCGUGAAUUUGCCUUGCGGCGGCGGAGCCCGUGCUCGGAUCGAUGAUGACUCCCUCUAAAGCAUUCCUUGGAAAUCUGAACAAAAUGAGUGAGAACUCACUACCGUC
ensembl:lncRNA